UAUCUUUUGAUUUUGGAGAAAUGAAAGCGCAGGAAUUGUUUAUACAUGUUAGUAUAAGCGCAUAAGUGAGUAUUAGGUGACAUAGUCACUUUUACAUCAGGUUUGAGAAUGUAAAUUAUUCUAAAACCUAAGACGUAUAGCUUUAGCCACGUUAUUACUGAAACAAAGAAUAACCAUCGGCAGCAGUAAAGAGUAUUGUACAAUUAGCGUUAGCUAGAUACAGGAAUUCCUUUGAGUCUUGUCUAAUCAUGUGCCAGCAGACGCGGUUAAACCUGAGAGACUAGUUUUCACACAUAAAUAGGAUGGUGCGUAGGCUUUUUAAAAAAGGUAAAUCAAAAAUUCUUGAUUUGGUUAAAUAAACAAGAUUUAGUAGUUCUAUUAAAAAGUUAGUUUACCUUUAAGCUAAAGCACUAAAAGUAGAGAAGUCAACAGGAUUAGAUACCCUGGUAGCUCUACUCGUAAAUCAAUAACAUUCACCUGAACAGUACAUUAAAGUAAUGAAAAUCAAAAAUUUUGGCUGUUUAUUUUCUAAUUAGAGGAAUAUGUAGUUUAAUUCGAUAGUCCGCGAAAUACCUUACCUGUUUUUGAAAUUACAAGCACUGCAUGGUCGUCUUCAAUUUAGAUAUUUAAUCUAAAUUAAACCCUAAUCGGAUGAAGUCAGAUAGUAUGGUCUUUAUAAGCAGGGAUACUAUGUGUUACAAUGCCUAAAAUAAGUAAAUAUUAGAAUUGGUAUAAACUUGUAAAAGAAUAGAAAAGAGAAUUUAAUAGUAAUCGAAGGAAGAAGACCUCGAUGAAUAAGUUCAAAUAUGAGUACAAAUUGCCCGUCGCCUUUAUCAAUGAAUACCAAAGAUAGAGUAAGUCGUAACAUAGUGGGGGGAAGGGAACUUCUCCCUGAAGAUUAA
rnacentral:rRNA from 1 species